CCCGCUCUUUAAAAUUAGGUAGAGAAUUGGGAGUAAAGCUUCAAUCCUGAUCUUAAUAGCCAUGGCAUUCUCUUUUUACACUUGUUUUGCUAUUUUACUUUUUUCACUCUCUAUAGCAGUGAGGAGUAGUGAGAUUACUAGAGCAACAAAUAAUGAUUCAGAAUCUCUUGUAGCUGAGGAAAAAGCAUUGAUGGAAACUGGGUGGUGGAGUAACUACAGCGACAUAGGUGUUCACCAUUGUACAUGGCCUGGUGUCAGAUGCAGUGCAACUGGAAGUGUCAUCGAGAUUGAUCUUAGUGGCCAUGGUCGAAAUGGGAGUAUAACACCUCAAAUAGGUGCACUUUUCAAACUCAAGUGCCUCAACCUGUCCUCAAAUAAUCUUAGAGAAUCUCUUGUAGCUGAGGAAAAAGCAUUGAUGGAAAUUGGGUGCUGGAGAAACUAUAGCAACAUAGGUGUUCACCAUUGUACAUGGCCUAGUGUUAGAUGUAGUUCUACUGAACGGUCAUCAAGAUUGAUCUUAGUGGCCAUGAUCUAAAUGGGAGUAUAACACCUCAAAUAGGUGCACUUUCCAAACUCAAGUGCCUCAACCUGUCCUCAAAUAAUCUUAAAGGAAUGACAAGACCGCCCCCAAUCAGCAUUCGAGCGUGCCACGCUCGCCACGCCUGGCACCCCCAAUGCAUGGCCUCCCUUCUCUGCUGCCACCUGAAAACAAAGAGGAAGAAGACAAAAUUGAGGGAUUAAAAAGAAAAUUGAAGAGAAAGAGGAAAAAUUUGACAGCUAAGAGAAAAAAAACAGCAGAAAGAUUUCAAAAAAAAGCUCUCAAAUCCAACCGAUUUCCCCCACCGCCACCACGAUCGUCGCGCCACCACCAUCGUUGCUCACCGUCGAACCCAAGCCAAGAACCAAGUACGUAUAAACAAAAGAAAAAGCAGCAAGAAAAAGAAAAAGUAAAAAGAAACAGUAAAGAAGAAAGAAGAGAAAAAAAGAAGAAGAGAGGAGGGAAAAGAGAGCUCCACAACCACCGUCUACCGUCGUACCAGGCUGGGGAAGUGACGUCGAGGCUGCUGAAGGAGAAGACGAAAAAGGAGAAAAAUAGAAGAAAGAAAGAAGAAAAAAGAAAGAAGAAAGGGAAAGAAAAAAGAGAAAACAAUAAAAAUUUUAACAACCGGGCCAAACUGACCCGACCGACCCAUCACCAAAGAAAG